UACGAAGGGGGGCUAGCGUUGCUCGGAAUCACUGGGCGUAAAGCGCACGUAGGCGGCUUUUUUAAGUCGAGGGGUGAAAUCCUGGAGCUCAACUCCAGAACUGCCUUUGAUACUGAGAAGCUUGAGUCCGGGAGAGGUGAGUGGAACUGCGAGUGUAGAGGUGAAAUUCGUAGAUAUUCGCAAGAACACCAGUGGCGAAGGCGGCUCACUGGCCCGGUACUGACGCUGAGGUGCGAAAGCGUGGGGAGCAAACAGG
rnacentral:rRNA from 1 species